GAUAUAAUGGUGGUUAGAUUAAGGUGACAGCCAUGUAGAUCAAGCAAAGUGGAUCAAGUUUAGAUAUAUUUUGGAGACAAACUUCUGAUGGAUGGGAUAUAGAAGAUGAAAUAGAAAAAUUACGACCAAUUCAAAGAUUUUUGGUCUUAGCAACUGGCAGAUGAUGAACAAUAGGAGAAUAACUUUUUUUUUUUUGUACUGGGUAUUGAACCUAGGGGCACUUAACCACUGAGCCAUAUCCUCAGCCCUUUUAUAUAUUUUGCUUAAUAUAUAUAUUGCUGAGUUGCUUCGGGCUUUACUAAGUUGCUAAGGCUGGCUCUGAACUCACAAUCCUCCUGCCUCAGCUUUCCAAGCUGCUGGGAUUACAGGCAUAUGUCACUGCACCCGAUGGAGAAUGACUAUUCUGAACAUGUUAGAUUUGGAAUACCUAAUAGAUAUCCAAGAGAAAUUUUUAGUGGACAUUUCAGUACAUGUGAUAUACAUUUAGAGCUUCCAUGAUAGGGAAGUGUGGAUUAGGGAUGAAGAUAUAAAUUUGGAAAUAAUCAUCAUAACACUGAUAUUUAAAAUCACAGAAUAGAUAAAUUACUUUUGGAGAAAGUACCCAGAGGAAACAGAAGGUCCAGAAUAAAUCCUUGGGGUACUUCAAUAUUUGGACAUCAAACAAGGCAGAAAACAGAACAAAGACUGAGAUAAACUGUUGAAAGAGCCAAUGAGAUAGGAAAAAAAUCCUAAAGAAAAAUGAAUC
rnacentral:lncRNA from 1 species